GAGCAUCUUUACUUCGAGGUUGUCUUCAAA
rnacentral:piRNA from 1 species